CAUAGCUGGCCUUAUAUGCAAGUCCCCAUGCAAGGGAACACCCACCUGGACCUUGUGGGGAACAGGAUGACAAUUGUUACAAGCCAAUGAUAAUGCAGUACAGUAGGUGACACUCCCACACAUUACACACAAUCCCUCCCCUCAGCUUGGGAGAUAAUUGAGUCAAGUCCUGUAUGUAACUCAAUUAUCUCCAGGCAGAAAAACACACAUUUUUAUAAAGUAUGAAAAGUACCCCAAUAUACAACAUAUGUCACAUCCCCUGAUAGCUCUGAUCUGGGUGACCAACAUAUCCAAAAAUCACCCAGAUCAGAGCAGGGGUUCAGGAAUUUUGUGGAAAUCCCAUUUUGACUGACC